rnacentral:lncRNA from 1 species
UCAGAUGCCUUUGAAUGUCAUGCACAGGAAAUUUUAGUUAUGUCCUAGUGUGCGGACAGAAUAUAUUUGAGACCUUAGGUAUUAAACCGAUAAACCGCCCAGUAACCGCCCGAUAAGAGCUAAUCCGAUACCAAUCCGCCCGAUAUCUUAUCGGGUGGCUAACGGAUGAAUACAUUUAAAAGCCGAUAACCGUUAAGCCAAACCG